GCCUGAGUGGCUCAGUGGUUGAGCAUUUGUCUUUGGCUCAGAUCGUGAUUCCGGGGUCCUGGGAUCGAGUCCCACAUCAGGCU
rfam:Canis lupus familiaris chromosome 23, whole genome shotgun sequence.